rnacentral:lncRNA from 1 species
GCCAGGAGGCGCGGCCGCCGCCGCCUCAGUCAUGGCUCCUCGCCGUGGCCGAUGUUUUUGUACCUCCAUCUGCGGAGGCCGCGGCGCCCGGCCCCAGCUGCCCCGGACGUGCGGCGACGGCACGCAGCACUGCGGCAGGGGGAAGCCAGCCCUCGCUGCGGCCGAGGAAUGGCCAUGAGAUGUGAGUAGAAGCCCCCUGGACAGCCUCCAAAAGAGAACUGUGAGAAAAGGUUCUUCAAUCCUAAAAAUGAUGGAGGAAAAAACAGUCCCUCUUCCUCAGACAGUGACACCUCAAACUGCUACAGUCACCUUUGCAGCAAGCCUGAAGAUGCCACCAACAUCAAAGGGAAUAGAGAGUUGGUCCUUGGUGAUAGCAUUAAGCCACUGUAUCAACCAAUCCUGACAAUUUGUAUGACUUCUGGAUUUCCAGCCACAUUACAACAAUGUAACAAUAAACAUUUAUUAAUUGCUUAAGCCAAUUUGAGUUAGGUUCCUUAUAUAAUAAAUGAAGUCAAAAAACAAAAAAAAAAAAAAAAAA